AGAGUUUGAUCAUGGCUCAGGAUGAACGCUAGCGGCAGGCUUAAUACAUGCAAGUCGAGGGGCAGCGGGGGUAGCAAUACCUGCCGGCGACCGGCAAACGGGUGCGGAACACGUACACAACCUUCCUUAAGGUGGGAGAUAGCCCAGAGAAAUUUGGAUUAAUACCCCAUAAUAUAUUGGAGCUGCAUGGCUUUGAUAUUAAAGAUUUAUUGCCUUAAGAUGGGUGUGCGUAUGAUUAGGUAGUUGGUGCAGGUAACGGCUCACCAAGCCUUCGAUCAUUAACUGGUGUGAGAGCACGACCAGUCACACGGGCACUGAGACACGGGCCCGACUCCUACGGGAGGCAGCAGUAAGGAAUAUUGGUCAAUGGACGAAAGUCUGAACCAGCCAUGCCGCGUGAAGGAUGACGGCCCUCUGGGUUGUAAACUUCUUUUAUAGGGGGCGAAAAAUGGUCAUUCUUGAUCAGCUGACGGUACCCUAUGAAUAAGCACCGGCUAACUCCGUGCCAGCAGCCGCGGUAAUACGGAGGGUGCAAGCGUUAUCCGGAUUCACUGGGUUUAAAGGGAGCGCAGGCGGAUUGGUAAGUCAGUGGUGAAAUACCUGAGCUUAACUCGGGAACUGCCAUUGAUACUAUUAGUCUUGAAUAUUGUUGAGGUAUGCGGAAUGGGUCUGUAGCGGUGAAAUGCAUAGAUAUGACCCGGAACACCAAUUGCGAAGGCAGCAUGCUAAACAAAGAUUGACGCUGAGGCUCGAAAGCGUGGGGAUCAAACAGGAUUAGAUACCCUAGUAGUCC
rnacentral:rRNA from 1 species